rnacentral:rRNA from 1 species
AUUGAACGCUGGCGGCAGGCCUAACACAUGCAAGUCGAGCGAGCGGCGGACGGGUGAGUAAUGCCUGGGAAUUGCCCAGUCGAGGGGGAUAACAGUUGGAAACGACUGCUAAUACCGCAUACGAUUGGAAUGACCAGGUGGUAUUAGCUAGUGGGUGAGGGAAUGUCUCACCAAGGCGACGAUCCCUAGCUGUGCUGAGGGGAUGAUCAGCCACAUUGGAACUUAGACACGGUCCAGACUCCUACGGGAGGCAGCAGUGGGGCAUAUUGCACAAUGGGGUAAACCCUGAUGCAGCCAUGCCGCGUGUGUGAAGAAGGCCUUCGGGUUGUAAAGCACUUUCAGCGAGGAGGCGUUACUCGCAGAAGAAGCACCGGCUAACUCCGUGCCAGCAGCCGCGGUAAUUC